GUCGCUUCGUGUAUGUGUGUGUGUAUCUAUGUGCGCAUCGAGUGCCAUUUGAGCCAAGCUUUUGACAGUGUGUGUGUGUGCUUGUAUGUGAGUCGAUACUGCUUUUCAAGCUCUUUUGUUAGCCGUCGUCGUCGUCAGCUCUUAUACGUUCGCACUUUGGUAAGAAGUCGACCAACUUUGGCCAUCUCUUGGUCUCAAUAAGAUCCAUGCUUUGCCAUACACACAAUUGAAACAGCUGAUUGUCUGCUCUCUUCUAAUCUCUCUUCACAGUGCUCUCUUUUUGGCUUCGUCUCUUUGACUGCUUGACGAUUUCGUCGUGCUCUUAGCAGCUGCUGAGGUGCUGACAAGAUAAAUGAGAUUACUUUACCUGACAAUUACGACAGCAAUUAGUCAUAAAGUGCGUCGAGUCGAUUAUUGUAAAGAUCAACUGAGAGUUUAGUGUAAUUAAAUUGUUGUUGUUUUUGUUUUGCUUUGCUUUUGUUGUUUGACAUUUUGUCAAGUACUCCGGCAUUUGUUUUGUUUAUAAAUAUCAACGAAAAAUAAAAAACAUAUCACUCAAUGAUCGCUGGAAUCAAAGCAUGCGCUUUAAAUGCCAACUGUUGAGUUCUUGUGAACGCUAUUGAACUCGUAAUGGUUAAAGAAUGCUAAAACUCAUCAAGUGUGUGUGUUUAGGCCUCCCCUGGAAUAUUAAUCGAUCCACGUUUCAAGUGAAAAUUUAUGGUCCCGCAAUUUCAGUGAAAAUCGCGUUGAACCAAUCGUAAUAAUGAUCGUAUCAGCAAGGAUUAAGCAAAAAAGUUACAAUUACCAGACUUUAAAUGCGUUUCAAAAGUGCUCCAGAUUUGUAGAUUAUCAUAGUAUAAAUGGCAAUAAACUUACCUAGAAUAAAAGAGAAAAAAAUAAUUUCAAGUUAUUAUAAAUAUUAUAUCAUAUUAUUUAAACAAUUGAUUGAUUUAUUCAAGCGUGUAAAACAUUUAACUCUAGUUCAAAAAUAAUAUUAGCCGGUUAAGAGUUGUAUUCCAUUUUGAUCUCAUCGCUAUGCCUAUCAGGUUGAGUGUCAUUGGAAUUCUGUUAAUGUUUGUAGCACUAAACCCUUGCUAUAAUGCUCACAAACUUUGUUUGUCAAAAUAAUGACGAAACGUGGUUUACUUUCCAUGAAUGUCGAUUGCGGGCGAUCAGUCGUAAUAAGACUAUUUUAAAUUUGAAUGGAACUUUUCAUCAAACCGUCACGGAGUUUCAUGUGAGAGGACAAAUGUUUUACAAAACCAAUGGUUACAAGCCUUGGCUUUAUAAUGUUCAAAUUGAAUGCUGUCGUUUUAUGAGGAAGACAUAUAAUCCUAUUGCCAUUAUUAUCUAUAGGUUUAUAAAAAACUAUUCAAAUAUGAACCAUAGUUGUCCCUAUAAGGGAGCGGUAAUUAUUAAAGGACUUUAUCUUAGAUUCGGCGCAUUACCAAAUGCAUUGCCAACUGGCGAUUAUAUGUUGGCAUUAACUUGGUCACUUGAUAACAAGACGAAAUUUACAACUAAUGCAUAUUUUAUGUUUGCUGAGGAUUUGUGAUAAGUUUUACUAUUCUUAUGGUAAUUCAUUUCUGAACCGAAAUAUAAACCAACUAAAUAUUCAACUUCAUUUUACUGUAUGAUCUAAAUCGUAAAUAUAUUU